rnacentral:misc_RNA from 1 species
AACGCACAUUGCGCCCCUCGGUACUCCGGGGGGCAUACCUGUUCGAGCGUCAUUGCACCCCUCAAGCUUCGCUUGGUAUUGGGUCCUAGCCCCCUGGGCUUACCCGAAAGUCAGUGGCGGUCCGGAGCGACUUCAAGCGUAGUAAAUUCUCUCCCGCUUUGGGGCUUCGCAACGUGACCGGCCAUCAACGCCCAAUGUUUCAAUGAUUGACCUCGGAUCAGGUAGGGAUACCCGCUGAACUUAA